rnacentral:lncRNA from 1 species
GUUUUUCAUAUGUCAUAAAACGAGUAUGUCUUUCCUUUAUAAGAGAUAAAACUACUUAAAGUGAUGAGAUUGAUUUAACUUGAGAUAUACUAAUUCAGCUUUGUUCAACUCAUGCUGUACCUGUCAAUUUAUAGUUUAUCUUUAGGAAAACACAGUACUUACCAGCUAAUGAACUAAACACAGAGAUCCAGAUAUUGUGUGGUUUGAUUCCAUCUUUGUUUCAGAGUGAAGUUUACUGACUUUAUAAUAAAAGUUUGCCACUGUCUUCUUUUUAUAUUCCUCCACUUUUGGCUUUAGCCCACAUUCUAAAUGUGUAAGCCUCAUUUUUCUUCCCCAUAUCAAGUAAAAUAGCUCACAUCGUCUCUCUUACUAGAAACACUUAAUAUUUUGAUAUACCGAUUCACUCUAUUGUAUUGAUUAAUACUACUCUCCUCAUUUUAAGGUUAUUCUGGUCCAGGUUAACCCAGGGGAAGCCUUUACAAUAAGAAGGGAAGAUGGACAGUUUCAGUGCAUUACAGAGUGAUGAAAUCAAGAAUCAAGACUGCUGUCAGAUGUACAACCCCAGUAACAUGGAUCAUGGAGAAACUACAUCAACAUUAGGAUGAUAUCUUUUGCGACAUGGUUUCAACAGUCACAUUUCAGGAGAAACGAAGAUCUUAAUAUUUUUCAUCCAUUCAUUCAGUAUUCACUAAGGGACAAAAAAUAAAUAAACACUAUUUCCUCAAACUCAUUUGACAGAUUUUCUUAUAUAUCUUUAUGCAAAGGUGAAAUAAGAUGUGAUCACUGGACCAUUGGUAGUGUAUGCCUUUUUCUCUCGUUGUAUUAUCCAGG